UUAUUUAUAAAGUUUUAUUUAUUAACAUUUUUUUUUGAAUUUGUUAUUUAUUAAAAAUAAUUUUAAUUUUAUUUAUUUAUUUUUAGUAUUAUUUAUAAAAAAAAUAAUUUUAAUUAUAGUUUAUUAGUAUUGAAAAAGAAUAUUGAAAUAAUAUUGAAAAAUUUUUUUUAUAAAAGAAAAAUUAAUUUUUUGUACCUUGUGUUUCAUGAUUAAUUAAAUAAUCAUUAAAUUUUUUAAUUUUCUCGAAUUAAAAAGAUUUAAUUAUAAAUAUUUUUUUUUGUUUAAUAAAAAUUAUAAAUUUAUAAUUAGAAAUUAAAAGUUAUUCGUUUUUUAAUUUAUCUAGUUUUUUAAGAAAUAAAUUUAAUUUAAAUUUAAAAAUUAUUUAUAUUAUUUUUUUUAAUUAUAAUUUUUUGAAUUAAAUAUUUUAAGGGAUGAGCUUUAAAAUAAAAUUUUAUAAUAAAAAAAUUUUUAUUAAAAAAAAAUAAUCUUAAGAUUAGAUAUUUUUAAUAAUUAUGUUAUAGUUUAUUUUUCUUUAAAAAUUAUUUUUUUUUAAUUAUUUAAAUUUCUAUUAAAAAAUUUUUUAAAAUUUUAAAAAUAAAAUAAUUAUGAUUAAAUUAGUAAAAAAAAUAAAAAUUUUUAAUUUUUUAUAUUUAUUUUUAAAAAUUUUUUUAAUAAUUCAGCAAAAUUUUAUUAUUUAAAUGUUUAACAAAAACAUUGUUUUUUAUUAAUUUUAAUUAAAAAAUAUAACCUGCCCAAUGAAUUUUUUUUAAAGGCCGCAGUAUUUUGACUGUGCAAAGGUAGCAUAAUCAUUAGUCUUUUAAUUGGAGACUUGUAUGAAUGGUUGAAUAAGAUAUAAUCUUUUUUAAAAAAUUUUUUUUAAUUUUUUAUUUUUGUAAAAAAACAAAAAUUUAAUUUAAAGACGAUAAGACCCUAUAAAGCUUUAUAAUUUUUUUUAUUAAUUUUCAUUAGUAUUUUAAUAUUUUUAUUAAAAAAUUUAUUUUAUUGGGGUGAUAAUAAAAUUUAUAAACUUUUAUUUUUAUAAUUUAAUUAUAUUUAAAUAUUUAAAAUUUUUGAUCCAAUAUUUGAUUAAAAAAUUAAGUUACUUUAGGGAUAACAGCGUUAUUUUUUUAAAGAGUUCUAAUCGAUAAAAAAUAUUGCGACCUCGAUGUUGGACUAAGAGUAAGUUUAGGUGUAGAAGUUUAAAUUUUUAGUCUGUUCGACUAUUAAAUUCUUACGUGAUCUGAGUUCAAACCGGUUUAAGCCAGGUUGGUUUCUAUCUUAAAUAAUUAUUUAUUUAUUUUAGUACGAAAGGACCAAAUAAAUAUUUUUAAAAUAAUAAAAAGAAAAAUUUUAAACUUACAUUUAAAAUUUAAUUAUUAUAGACUUUUUACUUAAAACUUAG
rnacentral:rRNA from 1 species